CCCCUAGACGUUCUGGGCUGCACGCGCGCUACAAUAAUACGCACAGCGAGUAUCACCGAGCUCGAAAGGGCAAGGUAAACAAUAGAAAAGGUACUGUAAUGGUUAUAGAUCCUUGUAAUUAUUGAUCUUCAACGAGGAAUUCCUAGUAAGUAUGUGUCAUCAUCGCGCACUGAUUACGUCCCUGCCCUUUGUACACACCGCCCGUCGCUCCUACCGAUUGGGUGAGCCGAUGAAACUCUCGGAUGUAGGCUAUUCAUAGCCCGCAGAAGAGAUUUGAAUCGUAGCGCUUAGAGGAAGGAGAAGUCGUAACA
rnacentral:rRNA from 1 species